UAUGUUGCAAUUUGUAUUUUUGAAAAUAGACUCAUAUUAUGCGAACACAUAGGGAAGCAAUUACUAUAAUUUUUUCUAAGUAACAUUUAUACACGUGUUGUAUGACGGAUUGUGUGACGGUUUUAUGACAUGUUGUAUGACGGUUUGUAUGACGGGACGAGUAUGAGUCUUAAACUUUAAACCGGGUUAAAAUUUUAUUGUAUUAUUUUUUACAACACCAAUAUAAGACAUGUGAAUCAAAUUGAUUUCAUUAUAUUAAUCAAACUGAUUUCAUUAUGUUUGAUAUUAUGUAAUCUUAAUAAUUUUUAAAUAUAUUUUAGUAUAAUAUAAAUUUUGAAUAUUAUAAAAAAACCUAAAAAUAAAA
rnacentral:lncRNA from 1 species